CCUACGGGGCGCAGCAGUGGGGAAUAUUGCACAAUGGGCGAAAGCCUGAUGCAGCAACGCCGCGUGAAGGAAGACGGUUUUCGGAUUGUAAACUUCUAUCAAUAGGGAAGAAAGAAAUGACGGUACCUAAAUAAGAAGCCCCGGUUAACUACGUGCCAGCAGCCGCGGUAAUACGUAGGGAGCAAGCGUUAUCCGGAUUUACUGGGUGUAAAGGGCGUGUAGGCGGGCCUGCAAGUCAGAAGUGAAAUCUGGGGGCUUAACCCCUAAACUGCUUUUGAAACUGUGGGUCUUGAGUGAUGGAGAGG
rnacentral:rRNA from 1 species